rnacentral:tRNA from 1 species
GCCGGAGUAGCUCAGCUGGUUAGAGCGUCGGAAUCAUAAUCCGUAGGUCGGGGGUUCAAGUCCCUCCUCCGGUACUA